ACUCUGGCUCCUAACCACAGUACUCAUUCCUUCCACCUUUUGCUUCUAUUCUCAGCCUCAUCGUCGGCCCCAUCUCUCUUUCCACUUAUUUCUUGCGGCACGUCACAGGGACAGAGCACCACCAUUGGUUGUCUGGCCAGGAAUUUCCUCCCAGAAUCCAUUGAAUUCAACUUUGCAGAUAAGGCCAACAGCAGCUUUACCACUGGCUUAAAGAAAUACAAUCCUGUGUUGGAAUCUGGAGGCACCUACGCAGCAAGCUCCCAGAUACAAGUGCUAACUACCAGCUGGGAAGGCAGUGAUGCUUAUUACUGCACUGCAAAACAUCCACAGGGUACCAGGACUGUGUUACUUCAGAAGUCAAAUGAAGUAUCAAGAAAACCAAUAGUAACCAUUCAUCCGCCAGUCAAGGAUGAUGUAGAAUUUAAUGACAAUGCCACAAUUGCAUGUAUCGCGCAUGGAUUUUAUCCUAAGAUCAUUGAAGUAAAAUGGCUGAAGAAUCAUGAUGUGCCUGUUAUUGCCACAACAGAAGAAGCAGUUUCUGAUGGAAAUGGAGGUUUUAUGAUAACCUCUUUUAUCGUAGUAUCUAAAAAAGAUUGGGAUACAGAUAUCACUUUCUCAUGUAUAGUGAAUCACUCUGCCUCUGGCUUCUAUGAGAUGAGGAAUGUGAGCAAAUCAACUGUAUGUGAACCCAAUCCUCCCGCUGAUAUCAAAGUGACUGCCGUGCCUCCAUUAUUUGAAACUAUUUAUCUCCAGAACAUUGCCCCACUCACCUGCAUUAUUUCAAACAUGGAAAACAGAGAUGGAUUAGAGGUCACCUGGUACGCAAAUAAUGUUGCAAUUAACACUGAAAUAGAAGACCCAAUAUAUGACACUCCUUCACGGAAGUACACUGCCAAGGCCAUUGCUACGGUUUGUCCUGAAGACUGGAAGACAAAGACCUUUGAGUGCAGAGUGACCCAUCCUGAGCUUCCCCGUGUUGUAGUUGUCACACUCAGUAAACCAAAUGGACAUGAUGCAAGAACUCCAACGGUUUUACUGUUCCCACCACACCAAGAUGAAUUAGCUAAAAAAGAAACUGCCACCCUGUCAUGCCUGGUUAAAGGUUUCGCCCCAGCAGACAUAUUUGUCAAAUGGAUAAACAGUGAUAACGUAGAGCAGUCUCAUGUUGUAACCACUAAGCCUAUGGAGGAGAUCACUUCUUCUAGCAAGAAAACCUACUUUCUAUUUAGCACAUUAACCCUGACAAAUGUUGAAGAUUGGAACAAUGGGAAAUCAUACACCUGUAUAGUUGGCCAUGAAUCACUACCACUAUACACCACCCAAAGGACCAUUGACAAAACUGCUGGUAAACCAACUAAUGUGAAUGUGACCCUCAAUAUGUCUGAUUCAUGUUAACCGUCCUUUAAACACUGGCCAGAUAACAUAGCCUUUUGUUUUUCCUUGUGUUAUGUGUAAAAUGAGGAGAAAAAAGAAGGAGGCGUGUCAUCUUGGUGUUUGUUGGUCUGCUUUUUGUACAUUAACUUCAAUGAAUCCUUUCUGCAUCUGGAAAA